rnacentral:rRNA from 1 species
GACGAACGCUGGCGGCGUGCUUAACACAUGCAAGUCGAACGGUGAAGCGCCUUCCUUUUUGGUGGGUGUGGAUGAGUGGCGAACGGGUGAGUAACACGUGAGUAACCUGCCCCCUUCUUCUGGAUAACCGCAUGAAAGUGUGGCUAAUACGGGAUAUUCUGGGUCUGUCGCAUGAUGGGUCUGGGAAAGAUAUUGUUUCGGUGGGGGAUGGGCUCGCGGCCUAUCAGCUUGUUGGUGGGGUGAUGGCCUACCAAGGCGGUGACGGGUAGCCGGCCUGAGAGGGUGGACGGUCUCACUGGGACUGAGACACGGCCCAGACUCCUACGGGAGGCAGCGGUGGGGAAUAUUGCACAAUGGGCGCAAGACUGAUGCAGCGACGCCGCGUGAGGGAUGGAGGCCUUCGGGUUGUGAACCUCUUUCGCCAGUGAAGCAGGCCUGCCUCGUUUGUGGGUGGGUUGACGGUAGCUGGAUAAGAAGCGCCGGCUAACUACGUG